AAAAAAAACCAAGCUCUAUAACAGCAUUUUAAAAAGGCCAUCCAAAAUCAAUGGUUGUUUUAAAUAAUAUUGGUUUAGUUUUCAGAGGUGCUGGGCAACUGUGGCUGCUAUUGAGUUCAAAUGGAGGUGUUGAUACUUAACACUUCUUAAUCCGAGACUACUUCCUUUCAUUUGCCUUGCAAAAGGUCCAGUGUUCAGGAUGCGGUGUGCCAUGUCACCCUCCAUCCCUCUACUGAAAGAAACUAAUAAGUGGUAUUUCUCAGUAGCAUUAAUGUUGCAUUCUAAUUAAUACUGUUAGAGAGGUUUUCAUAAAAUUGCUCUCAAUUACUACUAUUAAUAGCCCACAAAAUAUUAGUACCUGACUACGCCUUCUUUCCUUCCUUUGCAUCACUGGGUCACUAAGGACAAACUGAAAGUUGAUGUGCCUCUAUUUAGAUUGCAAAUUAACAUAUUGGCAAAGCCUAUUCCAUAUUAAGAAGCAACAGGUUUCAUGCUUGUGGUUUCCUUUCUGUAUGACUUUGACUAUGUUCGGAAUGCUGUUGUUCAGAAUGCUUAGGAUUCUGCAGAAAGCCAAAAAUAACCAGAUCCAGAUACUUAAGCCAACAUCAGCAAGCCCUGUCCCCUUUCCUCUGAAUGUGUGCGCAUAUUUGAUGGAACCAGAAAAAUAGAGGUUUAAUUUUUAGACUUCUGCAUACCCUUCAACAUUUCACAGAAAAACUAGAACAUAUUGGACCAAGCAAGCUUAGAGUUUGUUAAGAUGGCAAAAUUUAUUAAUGAGAAAGAACAGUUGACAUAGGAUAAUAUAAGUCCUCAAACUUUUUAAGCAGAGAGCCAGGUCAGAGUCCCUCAGACUGUUGUGGGGCCAAACUAUCAUUUGAAUAAAACAAGAAUGAAUUCCUAUGUACACUGCACAGAUCUUACUUGUAGUGCAAACAAUUUGAAAGACCAAUACAAUAUUUAAAAUGAAGAACAAUUUUAACCAACAUAAAAUUACCAGUAUUUUCAGUGAGAAGCGUGGGUCUACUUUUGGCUGGUGAGAUAGUCAAGUUAAUUAGGAUUGUUGUUGGUGUGUGACUUCAGAUCAUUUCAGACAAAGAGCAUCCCUAAGUCUAAAGUUUAAGGUGGGGCUGGGUAAAUGACUUUGGAGGGCCAUAUCCAACCCAUGAGCCUUACUUUGGGAAUUCCUGACAUAAGAGAAGCUACAGCAGCUUGCUUUUGUCUAAGCCUGCUCACAAGGGUAAGAUGUCAUCCCCCUUCUCGUCUCCUUGAUAAAUCAGUUGAGUGCAAACUGUUUUUGCACUUUGUGGGCAGUCGGCAACUGAAAAAAUGGGGCGACACAGAAUUAACUGAGACUGUUCCUGCCAGCGGGUAUGUCAAUGAGUGUUUUGUCAUUGUGCUGUGCAGAGAACAAAUACAAAGAGCUGGAUUCAAAUUUAGGCAAGUAUAAUUUGGUGGAAUUAGCCUUCUUUGCCCAAUCAUCAUCAUGGAAGGUCAGCCUACACCACCAUCCACAACUUCUCAAUAAGACACAGAAGAUUGAAAGGACAACCUUGGAUAGUUAGCAACAUUACUUACUGUAUAUACUCAAGUAUAAGCCUAUAAAGCUCCCCUCGGCUUAUACUCGAGUGAGGGUCCUGGCUGGCUUCUAUUCAGGUCAGCUUAUACUUGAGUAUAUAAGUAUUCAGAGUUGGACAGUCUUAUCUUAUUAAAGUCUCAUUAUUAUCUUAAAUUACAGUUUUGUAUAAAUAUUCAAAAACAUUUAACCUACUGAUGCCUCAAAUAAUGCAAUUUUAUUAAUAUCUAUUUUUAUUUUUGAAAUUGACCCGUAGCUGCUACAUUUCCCACCCAGUAUGAAUGGGAAAUAUUAUUCACAUAUACAUUAGCAAAUAGAGUAUUUUACACUCCAAAGUCUCUCUAUUUUAUUGUAUGUUUAUUUGGCAUGCAUGUAAAUUAGGAACCAAAAUGUCCCCAUAACUUAAUAAUGGGGUUACAUUCCAUUCACUUUGAUGGAGAAAUUAUUAUUUAUUAUUCAAAAUUAUUUAACCAUGAAUGACUAAUACUAUAUCAUGCAUGUAAUGCUAGGACCAAGUCUUAGGAGUUAAGACAUAGGAAACUGAUUCAUAGAAUCAGGCUACAGCUCCACCUAGAUCAGUACUGCCACCUUUGCCAGGUAUCAUCUAUUGGCUCUUCAGAAUUUCAGCCAGGAUUCUUUUCUAGGUGUAUCUAUAUCUGUGAUGGUCUCCUAAGUUCUAAUGAAGUAUAUUCCUGCUUAUCUUCUCAAAUUGAGAAAGAUCAAAUGCAUUCAGGAUGGGAUGGUGUUACUUUAUGUAGAGCUGAACAUGAUGGAUGAUGUAAUGAUAAUGAUGAAUUAGUAGUAACAGCAUCAUUAUUUAUACCCCACUGUUUUCUAGAAAUAGCAUUAAAAAAGGCUGAUGUGAAUUUGAUUUUGGGAGCAAUGUGGAAUAUAAAUCAUACAAUUAAAGCAAACAGGUAAAUAGGAUGGACAGGAGUUUGAGGGUCUGAUGGAAGGAGGGCCGGGUAAGUAUUUAUCAAUAUUGUCUGCUAUUUUCCAUAUAACCUCAGCACCAUUCAUACUGUAAAGCAGGCUGAUAGUCUGAUUGCUCAGAGCUAAGGUAUUUGCCCUGAUGCCAAAGCACUGAAGGCUAAUGAACUAUUAAAGCCCCGUGUUUCUAUAUUAUAACUCAAAACAUUUCUUCCAAAAUCCAGUUAUAAUGUUACCAUUCAGUUAUCUACUCUAAAUCAAAAAUAGCUACCUGUUACAGCUUUUAAUUAAGAUAACUUUAAGGCCUAUAUAUAUGUUAUGUAGCAGCAGAGGAAAUAUAUUUUCUAAUAUACUUCAGAAUAUAUAUUCUACUGAAAAUUAGUGUUUGGACUGUUAAAAUAACCAAACCUUAUUCAGUAAAAAUGUUUAAACUAUUUUUUCUUUACAGGUGGAGAUGGGGUAACUUGAUGCAGGCGGAAAUAACGUGAUGAGAAAAUGAUUCAUGUAUAGAAAAAUAUUCUUGAACUAGAUGCGCAGCCAAGGAAAUAUGAAACCCAAGAGUACAUGAGCAAUAUCUUGACUUUCCUCUUCCUUUGGAUAUCAUCAACCAAAUGUGCCACUGACUAUAAAGGAAAUCAUGUGUUGAAGUCUAGUGCUGAAUUCAUAGCUGACAUUUUCCAUGACAGGUGUGCAACACUGAAGAAAAGGCAAAGAACAAGAAAAGAAAGCACCUAAAGAAUGCUUUUAGGUGCUAUUUUUAAUUGUUAUUUGAAGCUUACAGUUGACCUGAGUUCUGUAAAGGCACGAAGUCUGGAUGCAAGGACUCAAAUAUCUGUUCCCUAACAUUGGACCUUUCAGUAUGCCUUUGAACUCUGUGUUCUCUGAACGUGUUGUAACUGUAGGAGAGUGCAUGGAUGGUUGGUAGGGGUGGAAUUUUUUAUAAAAAAAUAAUAUGAAAAAGGCUUAGUUUCCAGCAGUUGCAGCAGCUGUUACAUCUGUCUCUGAAUUUUCUUAACUGAAAUACAAGCAGGAAGAGAACAAUGAAAACCAUAUUACAAGUAUAAUUAUCAUGUAUGGAAGGUCAGGUUUUUUUAAAAAAAAAUCUAGGCAUUGCUGAACAGAAAUGCUUGGAAGCAUACCCCAUUGUGUCUGCUUUGUGAAAACCAAUCCAUCUCUGGAAGGUAGGGAGGAGAAUUUGCUGGACGGAAGGCACUGUUGUAGUCAAACUUCACCUAUGAAUGUGAGCAUGACAAAAGGGGUAGUUGGCAAGCUUCUUUUGUGACACACAACACAGGAUAAUGUUCACCUGUUACAACAGCUGUAUCUGCAAUCAUAGUUGUGGGGUUGGGUUGUUAGUCUAUUGCACUGUCUUUUCAUCCUGCAUUGAUAGUGUUAAAACAUAGGCUUGGUCUUUCAGUACAGGAGAAGACAGGAGAAAGAAAUGCAGACAUCUUGAUCAUAAGGCUAUUUGAUGGAAAAAUAAAGGAGUAAUUGAUCAAUC